CCGCACCGAAUUGUAGUCUAGAAAGGCGCCAUCGGCCUCGCCCGCCGCUCAAAUCCCUUGGAACAGGGUAUCGGAGAAGGUGAGAAUCCUGUACCGUGGCGGUGCGCGGCCGCACGAUGCGCCCUUGCAGAGUCGGGUUGCUUGGGAUUGCAGCUUGAAGUGGGUGGUAAAUUCCAUCUAAAGCUAAAUACUGGCUCAUGACCGAUAGCGAACAAGUACCGUGAGGGAAAGAUGCAAAGAACUUUGAAAAGAGAGUUAAAGAGUGCUUGAAAUCGGAGUGAGGAAACCCGGUUGUGCCCGGCUUCGUGUUGUCGACUCAAUUGUCUUGAAGCAAUGCACUUUGUCAACACGGGUCCUACGCGACUAUACAUGUGUUAUAAUUACCUGGGGGGCUUCGGUGAGCCAGGACAUAGCGCGUGUGUGGUCCCGUCGGACAGAACGGGCACAACCGACCCGUCUAGAAACACGGACCAAGGAGUCUGACACGGAUGCGAGUACCCGGGUGGCAAGCCCGCGUGCGCAAUGAAAGUGAAGGGCGUGCCCCGCCAACCGACCUUGAUCUUCUGUGAAGGGUUUGAGUCGAGCAUCACUGUCGGGACCCGAAAGAUGGUGAACUAUGCCUGAGGAGGUUGAAGUCUGCCGAAAGGCAGAUGGAGGACCGCCGCGAUGCUGACGUGCAAAUCGUUCGUCGAACUUGGGUAUAGGGGCGAAAGACUAAUCGAACCAUCUAGUAGCUGGUUCCCACUGAAGUUUCCCUCAGGAUAGCUGGUUGCAGUGAACAGUUUUGU
rnacentral:rRNA from 1 species